rnacentral:lncRNA from 1 species
GGAUUCCGUAAUCAAGAAGUCAAUUUCAAGGUAUGUGGGGUUUUGAACAAGAGCAAUAUUCUGUUCUUGUGCCCAAAGCUUUAAUUUUAUUAUGUUUUUACAUGAUUUUGCAAGUGAGAUUACGUCUAAAUAAUUCGAUUAUGAGAUUAUGAUGGUUGAAUGAAUAAAUUUUGAUUUAUAUUAUCUCAAUGUUUUCAUGAUAUGAUUUAAUAAUUAUCAUUGCGAAUUGCACACUUUUACCACGAGGUGGUAUUUUGAAUGAUUUUGGGGCG